rnacentral:ncRNA from 2 species
UACAUUUGCAACGCUUUCGGUUUCUUUACGAACGAGAUCGUAAUGGAUUAAAAGGGAAUCCGGUGUAAGUCCGGAACUGUCCCGCAGCUGUAAGUCCGGCUUAACCUGCAAGGGUUAAGCUUAGUUGAAUUCACAUGGUCACUGUUGAAAAAUGGGAAGGCCUCAACAAAAAGGAUAAGUCAGAAUACCUGCCAUAAGCAUUAUAAUAUU